CGUCCCAGUUCGGAUUGUAGUCUGCAACCCGACUACAUGAAGCUGGAAUCGCUAGUAAUCGCGGAUCAGAAUGCCGCGGUGAAUACGUUCCCGGGUCUUGUACACACCGCCCGUCACACCAUGAGAGUUGGCAAUACCCAACGUACGUGAUCUAACCCGCAAGGGAGGAAGCGUCCUAAGGUAGGGUCAGCGAUUGGGGUGAAGUCGUAACAAGGUACC
rnacentral:rRNA from 1 species